rnacentral:rRNA from 1 species
UACGGAGGGGGCUAGCGUUGUUCGGAAUUACUGGGCGUAAAGCGCACGUAGGCGGCUUUGUAAGUUAGAGGUGAAAGCCCGGGGCUCAACUCCGGAACUGCCUUUAAGACUGCAUCGCUAGAAUUGUGGAGAGGUGAGUGGAAUUCCGAGUGUAGAGGUGAAAUUUGUAGAUAUUCGGAAGAACACCAGUGGCGAAGGCGACUCACUGGACACAUAUUGACGCUGAGGUGCGAAAGCGUGGGGAGCAAACAGG